rnacentral:rRNA from 1 species
GACGAACGCUGGCGACGUGCCUAAUACAUGCAAGUAGAACGCUGAAGAGAGGAGCUUGCUCUUCUUGGAUGAGUUGCGAACGGGUGAGUAACGCGUAGGUAACCUGCCUUGUAGCGGGGGAUAACUAUUGGAAACGAUAGCUAAUACCGCAUAACAAUGGAUGACACAUGUCAUUUAUUUGAAAGGGGCAAUUGCUCCACUACAAGAUGGACCUGCGUUGUAUUAGCUAGUAGGUGAGGUAAUGGCUCACCUAGGCGACGAUACAUAGCCGACCUGGGAGGGUGAUCGGCCACACUGGGACUGAGACACGGCCCAGACUCCUACGGGAGGCAGCAGUAGGGAAUCUUCGGCAAUGGGGGCAACCCUGACCGAGCAACGCCGCGUGAGUGAAGAAGGUUUUCGGAUCGUAAAGCUCUGUUGUAAGUCAAGAACGGGUGUGAGAGUGGAAAGUUCACACUGUGACGGUAGCUUACCAGAAAGGGACGGCUAACUACGUG